UAAUCAGCCUUGAUGAAGAGUAGUAGCUAUUUGAAUUGUUAGAGAGAGCUAGCGGUUGGUGGAAGCUAGUACAAAGCGAUUAGUGAAUGGACUUCGGAGCUCUAGCCCUGAACCUAGCGAAAAUGGCCUUGGCGUUUAAACGUUAAAGAGCAUUGGAAAGUAGGGGUUAGCGUAAGCCUACGUUACAGGGUAUAGUUGAGUGGGUCUUGUAUAGACCAAUGAAGGUGGCACCACGGCUUUUCCGUCCUUUUU
rnacentral:ncRNA from 1 species